UACGUAGGGUGCGAGCGUUAAUCGGAAUUACUGGGCGUAAAGCGUGCGCAGGCGGUUGUGUAAGACAGAUGUGAAAGCCCCGGGCUCAACCUGGGAACUGCAUUUGAGACUGCUCUGCUCGGGUGCGGAAGAGGGAAGCGGAAUUUCCGGUGUAGCGGUGAAAUGCGUAGAUAUCGGAAGGAACACCAGUGGCGAAAGCGGCUUCCUGGUCCGACACCGACGUUCAGGCACGAAAGCGUGGGGAGCAAACAGG
rnacentral:rRNA from 1 species